GCUCUGUGGAUCAAGUGGCGAACGGGUGAGUAACACGUGAGCAACCUGCCCCGGACUCUGGGAUAAGCGCUGGAAACGGCGUCUAAUACCGGAUACGAGCUGCGACCGCAUGGUCAGCAGUUGGAAAGAUUUUUUGGUCUGGGAUGGGCUCACGGCCUAUCAGCUUGUUGGUGAGGUAAUGGCUCACCAAGGCGUCGACGGGUAGCCGGCCUGAGAGGGUGACCGGCCACACUGGGACUGAGACACGGCCCAGACUCCUACGGGAGGCAGCAGUGGGGAAUAUUGCACAAUGGGCGGAAGCCUGAUGCAGCAACGCCGCGUGAGGGAUGACGGCCUUCGGGUUGUAAACCUCUUUUAGCAGGGAAGAAGCGAAAGUGACGGUACCUGCAGAAAAAGCGCCGGCUAACUACGUGCCAGCAGCCGCGGUAAUACGUAGGGCGCAAGCGUUAUCCGGAAUUAUUGGGCGUAAAGAGCUCGUAGGCGGUUUGUCGCGUCUGCUGUGAAAUCCCGAGGCUCAACCUCGGGUCUGCAGUGGGUACGGGCAGACUAGAGUGCGGUAGGGGAGAUUGGAAUUCCUGGUGUAGCGGUGGAAUGCGCAGAUAUCAGGAGGAACACCGAUGGCGAAGGCAGAUCUCUGGGCCGUUACUGACGCUGAGGAGCGAAAGGGUGGGGAGCAAACAGGCUUAGAUACCCUGGUAGUCCACCCCGUAAACGUUGGGAACUAGUUGUGGGGUCCAUUCCACGGAUUCCGUGACGCAGCUAACGCAUUAAGUUCCCCGCCUGGGGAGUACGGCCGCAAGGCUAAAACUCAAAGGAAUUGACGGGGACCCGCACAAGCGGCGGAGCAUGCGGAUUAAUUCGAUGCAACGCGAAGAACCUUACCAAGGCUUGACAUACACCAGAACGCCCUAGAAAUAGGGAACUCUUUGGACACUGGUGAACAGGUGGUGCAUGGUUGUCGUCAGCUCGUGUCGUGAGAUGUUGGGUUAAGUCCCGCAACGAGCGCAACCCUCGUUCUAUGUUGCCAGCACGUAAUGGUGGGAACUCAUGGGAUACUGCCGGGGUCAACUCGGAGGAAGGUGGGGAUGACGUCAAAUCAUCAUGCCCCUUAUGUCUUGGGCUUCACGCAUGCUACAAUGGCCGGUACAAAGGGCUGCAAUACCGUGAGGUGGAGCGAAUCCCAAAAAGCCGGUCCCAGUUCGGAUUGAGGUCUGCAACUCGACCUCAUGAAGUCGGAGUCGCUAGUAAUCGCAGAUCAGC
rnacentral:rRNA from 6 species